rnacentral:lncRNA from 1 species
GCGGAGGGUUGGAGCUCGUGAGCGAAGGCGCUGAAUCCUGAGGGACUAAUCUGUCACGGCGGCGCCCUACCUCUUCUUCCGGCCCGGCUCGUCAUGGCGGCGCCCUGAGUAGCCACUUCCGCCCUCUUCUGGCUAAAUUGCUUCAUCCCUAUUUCCGGCUUGCCAUGGCAGCGCUCGGGGUUUAACGGAAGUAAGCAAUGGAAAGUAUGGUGGUGCCUCGGGUCCAAAGAGAAUGCGCCGCUGAGUUGCGCGGCACCUGACGGGAUUGAGCCUCAGACACAAGCGCUCCAAAUCUCCGACUGUAGCUGGUGGGAAGCGCCUGCUGUUGCUGCAGCGUCUCAACAUGUUGUUCCCAUUUUCGUUGGGUGCUGUAGCGGUAGGCUGUUGGGCUCAGGGAUAGGGGGCCUGAUUCCUAACGCCGCGCUGCCACCAUCGGCCUUGCGCAGACGCUGAUAAUCCCCCUGGCACCCAGGUUCAUGCGAGCGCUUGGAACAGGAGGGAAGAGGGAGUCAAACCAAGAGCCGAACUAAUUCGGCUUGGGCCUGCCAUUUACCCAGCCUGGGACCCAGACGUUUCCCCAUCCCUUAGCGUACGCCAGGACAGACAUGGCGUUUAAUCCUGACUCCAUGAGACUAUCAAGCUAGUUACUUCCUCUCUUUGUAAUUAAUUCCUCCUAAUGUAGCAACAUUUCCCCCUUCCUUCUCAUCUGUCUUAAAAGUGUGAGGUUAGACCUGGGCGUGAGUUUCCCCACAUAAGAGACUGGAUAUCCCCUGGUCAGAGAACUGAGCAUCAGUCCUGCCGUUUCGUUUGCAGAUCUUUCAAGACUCUAGUCAAAAUGAGCAGAACAUUUUGCAGUUAAUCAUAGAGUUGAAGAUGAACGAGAAGAUGAACGAGAGCUACUUGAUUGUGAACUAGUAACGACCACUUGGAGUCGCAGUGUGUCUGUAAAAUGAUGAUGACAGUGACAUCAUAGAGGACAUAGUGCAAGUGAACAGUUUGAUACUGAGCUUGGAGCCUCAGUAGUUCUGGAUAAGUGAGAGCUGUACGGGAGGUUGUAACCAUGAGCUACCCUGGUUGGCAGUUGACAUCCGAGGACCAGCACUGGUCAUCGCACAGAAAGAAAACUUUACACCUUGAGAUCCCUCCAUUCUUCUUAAACUUCCAAGUGUAUGUUUGAUGGGAGAAGAGGGGAAGGGAUCAACAUUUAAAGGCUCUGGAAGGAGUCAGAUAACUGUUUUUGGCUUCAAAUGUAGAAUGAAUCCCUAGAUUUUCCUCUACUGAGAGAAUGAAAUCUUAACCCAUUCCGUUCCCUUGUUGGUACUCAGAAACGGAUACCCCAAAGAUGCAUUUUGACAUGCUGAAAGGCCUUAGAAGCUGCCUUAGAAGAUCUGUCUAACCUUGUCUUGUUGGUGUGUGGAAGUGGGAAUGCCCACAGGUGCACAGGGAGGGAGUUUCUGAAAUUAUCUGACCGAGAAAGCAAAAAAAAAAAAUCAAUUGUCUUAAA